AAGAGGAUGGCGAGGAGACCCGCAGAGAGGGUGCGGGCGCCGGCUACCUGAAGGAGCCUUUGUUCGGCCCGGGCGCCGGGAGCGCAUUCUUUCACACCAGGAACGGCGGGAGAAGACGUUCAUUCAGUCCGCUUUCUUGGUGACGUAGUUGGGGCAUUCAUGUGUUUUUAACCUUGAAUAAUUUUUGUCUCUAAGCUCCAAACAAGCCUUAUCCUGUCCACAGGGGCGCAAAGCCCGGCCAUGGCCGUUACAAUCCACAGCUUAUCUAAGAAAAGCAGAGGCGGCCUCUCCCGGAAUGGCAGGGUUUGUGGGGAUCAACGCUCUUGCUGCCUUUCGCUGCACACCGGAGCAGAGAAUCGAAUCAGGGUUGGAUACAGAUGAGAAGGUGCAGUUCUGUCCCCUUUCGGUGGACACAAGGAGAUCUAAGUCUGGUACAAUGGAAGCUGUGUGCAGUCAGUAAAUUUGAAUGGACACAAUGAAGCCUAUCAAUCAGUGUGAACCACGGGAAGCCUCCACCUCUCUUAGAUCCCAUCCCAGCUUUCAGGAUUGUAGCUCCAGAGUCUCCACUUCCUACUGGGCCAGCACCUUCCACUUGGAGACUCUUUAGAAGCAUAUUGAUCCUUUCUUCUUCACCUCCUGCUGUCCCCAACCCUACCACCAUGCAUGGAGUCUGCUCAAGAAACAUGGCCUGAUGCUCAAAUUGAAAGGAAAGAGAGUCAAGUUCUCUGGGUAGAUAGUGGAGGGGCCGUAUUCUAUUCUGCUUGGCCUCUGUGGACAGGAACUACUCACUCACCUGAAUACAGCAGCUGUUCCUAUGCAGGACAAUCUAUCUGACUAAAAAGAGAAAAGAAACAGGGAAGAAAAGGAAAAAGGAAUCCGAAUUAUUUCCU